AGACAUGAUACAUGGCCUUCAUUCAAUCUUUCAAACUUUGCUUUUACUUCAUUUCAAAAUUUCCAACUUAUAAAAGCUACUUUGGUUAGUUGGAUUAUUUUUUCAAAGAUGAAACAGUAGGCUAUGAAACUAUAUGAGGGCCCUUUUUGUCUCUUUGGUGGAAAAACUAUAGAAAGGGGAGGGAAGGGAAUUCAAUUUCUUCCAUCUUACCUCUUAUACUGUAUAUAUUCUCCUGAUCAACUCCUCUAAUUCAUUUCUUUCAGAUCACUUCUUGUUGAAGCAAAAAGCAUCACCAAUGUCGUCAAGGAUCAUUAUUACUCUCAAGUGGACGUAGUCACCAAUCGUUUUCGUAGUUCUGGUCACUUUUGUUGUAAUUGAGUAGUUAACAUCUUGGGCGUCACUCAAAUAUUUGUGUGUCUAUAUAUACACAUAUAUUUAUAUUGAAAAGAUUCAUUAUAUAUUUAAUUUGUUUGAUAAAAAUAUGUAUGUGGUUGAUAUGGUUAGGAAUUGUUGAGGGUUAGGUUUGGAGGAGAAACCUUUUUAUAUUGAGAGGUAGAGCUAUUCUUGGAAUAUUUUUUUUCUUUUUUCUUUUUGGAGAACAAAGCAUGGUGAGGAGAAUCCAGUGAAAAGUGAUUAUCAAAGGUUGAUAGCUGCUAGAAUAAGAUGAUUCCAUUCGAAGGAUAACAUUGUGUGCUAGGGCAUUGCAAUAUUUGCACUCUUUAUCUUUGUGUAGAUGGUUGUGUGCUUAAGGAAUCAUCACAUCAUUUGUUUUGAAAUCCUAUGUUUGAAAGAUUGUGGUGGUUAUUGGUGUUGGGUUGGUUGGGUAUUCCCAAUGUUUUACAUCAAAAUGCACACAUGAUCAUAUGUUUCGUGGUCUUAAUUUUGGUGAAGUCAUGAACAAUAAGUUGAACGUUAUUUGGUUAGUGUUUGUAUACUUUAUUUGAAAAGCUCGUAAAUACCAUGAUAUAUAUCCAGAA